CGGCUCGGUCCGGUUUGAUUCGUCCAGUAAGCAGAAAAUGAGUCAAUGGCGGUUAGAAAAUGGUAGUCAAUUGAGCAUCGCACAAUCUCAGGAAUUCCCACAACACGAAAAAGCGAACACUUGAAACUAAUGACCCCCCAAAUUCUACAUCUCCGGUAGCACUUUUACUCUCAGCAACCGAUUUGCAACAGCCGAGUGCGGUGAGAUAUGUCCAUUGCCUCAUCAGCUCUGGCGCUCCACCUCCCCUUUGCUCCCCCAAUCACCACCGCCGCCUCCGCUGCCGCCACUAAACUCACUUACCCAGCAAGCCUUGAGCUUUUAUAAUCACCACCCGGAUAACAAAGUUGCUGCCUUUACUAACAAGGCAAUUUCAUGUAGUGAAGAAUCAGGAAAUUUCGAGGGCUUGUUGGAGUUCUCUGAGCCAUCUGAUGGUCAACAUAGUCUUCAACUUGGACUCAAUCAAUGGAAGAUGCAGGCCCUCAGUGCUUUAAAAGUCGGGGCAGCAGAGCUCCGAUCCAUGUUUUUGAAGGCAAUGUAGCUUUACUACCAAGACUUUAUGCACGCUCAAUUCUCUCCAACUUAAGUUCAUAUCUUUUAAUUUUGUUGGUUUAUGAUUUUCUCUCAAGGGUGGUGGUAUCUUUACUUCGGCGAAGAUUUAUCAGUUGUUAGCUAGAAAGUUAUCUGGGAAGGUGUUCCUAGAAGCUGCCAACCAUCAGCUAAAAAGGGAUUUUGUUAGAAAGGGUUUUGCAGGGGCUACAUCAAGAUAUCUUGGUUUAAGAAGCGUGAUGGCUUUGCUUGGCCCAGUAUCCGUAUCACUCGCACGUAUAGGCUACCGCCUGAUUGCUGAAAGGCUUUACUGUUUGCGAAGAUGCAUCCUCUUCGACAUCCAUCAAAUAGUUCCGGAGCAUGAAAUGGAUCCCAAGCAGCAUUCACACCGAAGGUAAAUGUGGACGGCCUGUCAACACUUUAACAAAGAGAUUUGCGAUCAAGAUGAAUUCCACUGUACAUAAAGUUUUGGAAUUAAACUUGGAUCACCUGUCACAGUUUGCUUCUGUUAUUAAAUUUUCAAAUGUGUAAUACCUAACAGUGAAGCUGAAAAGAUUAUCGACUUCAUAGGAGUUUAUGUAUGCCAUUUUAACAUUAAAAAUUAUUCUCAGAAAAAGAAAUGAAAAGAA